rnacentral:rRNA from 1 species
UACGUAGGGUGCGAGCGUUGUCCGGAAUUAUUGGGCGUAAAGGGCUUGUAGGCGGUUUGUCACGUCGGGAGUGAAAACUCGGGGCUUAACCCCGAGCCUGCUUCCGAUACGGGCUGACUAGAGGUAUGCAGGGGAGAACGGAAUUCCUGGUGUAGCGGUGAAAUGCGCAGAUAUCAGGAGGAACACCGGUGGCGAAGGCGGUUCUCUGGGCAUUACCUGACGCUGAGGAGCGAAAGUGUGGGGAGCGAACAGG